AGAGACACAUGGCUGUCAGUGGCAGGAGACCAGGCCCACGCUGAAGCUCUAAGAGCAAGGGCCUGUUUACACUCAUCCCCUUGCUCUGUUGAGAUCCCACAACAGAAGUACGUGCUGAGAUGAUCACCCAUUGCCAUGGGUCCAAAGCAAACAACAAAGCCACAAGAAAGAGGAGCUCUCAGGCGUGAGCUCUCAGCUACUGCUCCAGGGCCAUGCCUGCCUGCCUGCUGCCAUGCUCCCUGCCAUGACAGCCAUGGACUCUAAUCCUCUGGAACCACCAACCCCAAAUUAAAUGUUUUCCUUCUAA